AUGGAAUACUUGGAGGUGUACUGCAGGAAGGUGGACGAUGCCAAUCAGACCAGGGUCAAGCAGCAGCAGUCUGUGGCCACUAAAGAAGCUGAGGUUGAUAUGUUAGUGGCUACUCUAGGGGAGCACAAGUUGUAUCUCAAGGAUGCUUUUGUCAAUUUCUCGGCACUUGCGCAUAAAGACAAGAGCUACGUGUCGCUCAAGGAACAAGUUGCCGCUGUUGUUCCUGUGCUUGACGAUCUGAAAUGCAAGACAGAAGAAAGGAUCAAGUAUUACGAUAUUCAAUCACAGAUUGAGAAGAUAUGCUCUAUAAGUUAA
rnacentral:rRNA from 1 species